UGGGCCCUCUGUAGUGUAACGGAUAGAGCACGCGCUCUUGGAAAGAGUGAGAUGCGGGUUCUAGCCCCGCCUGACCAA